CAGUAGCUCUGGCGCACGUAAAUAAUUUAGCUUGUUUGACCGUGAUAGGACAGAGAUAAAGAAAAACAACAGGGUCGGUUUGAUAGCCCUCUGAGAGCAGCAACAUCGUUCAUACAGUGUCUCAGGUGUCAAGGAAGUUUAUGGAAGUCGAUACAUUACAUUAUCACAAAAUGUCAUCCUCCUUACCUAACUAUGCGCAAACUGCCAACAAGUUUUAAGGCCGUUACAGGUAAUCGAGUAGUGUCAAACACGUCUUACUGUGUUUGACACUACAAAUGAGGACCGACUACAGCUGGCAUAACAACUAACCUCCUAACCGACUGGUGAAAUUUGAUUCUGCCGUCUAACGUUUCACUCAGCUUGCUCUCACAAUUAUUUAGCAAGCAGUACCCACGGCGGCCAUGUUUCAUUCCACCCGACGGACGAAAGCAGGAAGUUAAAAAUUGCUGCAGCCGUUUGCUCCAGGAUUGAGAAAUUUGCUGGAGGGAAAAUCUGCUACCGGAGACUCUGAGCUGUCUGAGGGGCUGAUCUGAGAGAAGCUUCUGGACUUGCAAACAGCUCCAGGGAGGAAAUGGAAAUGUCUACAUCACAUUCCCACCUACGUAGGAAGACCAGCUCGCAGAAGAAGAGCGUCGCCACCAGGUUCCUGUGGAUGGCGUGCAGGUUGGAGCGCAGCCGGUGCAGGAGGC